GACGAACGCUGGCGGCGUGCCUAAUACAUGCAAGUUGAGCGCUGAAGGUUGGUACUUGUCCCAACUGGCUGAGCAGCGAACGGGUGAGUAACGCGUGGGGAAUCUGCCUUUGAGCGGGGGACAACAUUUGGAAACGAAUGCUAAUACCGCAUAACAACUUUAAACACAAGUUUUAAGUUUGAAAGAUGCAAUUGCAUCACUCAAAGAUGAUCCCGCGUUGUAUUAGCUAGUUGGUGAGGUAAAGGCUCACCAAGGCGAUGAUACAUAGCCGACCUGAGAGGGUGAUCGGCCACAUUGGGACUGAGACACGGCCCAAACUCCUACGGGAGGCAGCAGUAGGGAAUCUUCGGCAAUGGACGAAAGUCUGACCGAGCAACGCCGCGUGAGUGAAGAAGGGUUUCGGAUCGUAAAACUCUGUUGGUAGAGAAGAACGUUGGUGAGAGUGGAAAGCUCAUCAAGUGACGGUAACUACCCAGAAAGGGACGGCUAACUACGUG
rnacentral:rRNA from 1 species